AUUUUCCCCUUUAGUAAUCCC
rnacentral:miRNA from 1 species